GUGCUCACUUCGGCAGCACAUAUACUAAAAUUGGAAUGAUACAGAGAAGAUUAACAAUGGUCCCUGCGCAAGGAUGACACGCAAAUUCGUGAAGUGUUCCAUAUUUAA
rnacentral:snRNA from 1 species